CGAGGGGCAGCGGGGUAGUGCUUGCACUACUGCCGGCGACCGGCGCACGGGUGAGUAACACGUAUGGAACCUGCCCGCAGCAGGGGGAUAAGCGGAAGAAAUUCCGUCUAAUACCGCGUAAGAACGUUGGGAGGCAUCUCCCGAUGUUUAAAGAUUUAUCGGCUGCGGAUGGCCAUGCGGCGCAUUAGCUAGUCGGCGGGGUAACGGCCCACCGAGGCGACGAUGCGUAGGGGUUCUGAGAGGAAGGUCCCCCACACUGGUACUGAGACACGGACCAGACUCCUACGGGAGGCAGCAGUGAGGAAUAUUGGUCAAUGGCCGAGAGGCUGAACCAGCCAAGUCGCGUGAGGGAAGACGGCCCUACGGGUUGUAAACCUCUUUUGUCGGGGAGCAAAGCGAACCACGUGUGGUUCAUUGAGAGUACCCGAAGAAAAAGCAUCGGCUAACUCCGUGCCAGCAGCCGCGGUAAUACGGAGGAUGCGAGCGUUAUCCGGAUUUAUUGGGUUUAAAGGGUGCGCAGGCGGAGGUGCAAGUCAGCGGUCAAAUUGCGGGGCUCAACCCCGUACUGCCGUUGAAACUGCAUCCCUUGAGUGCGCCAGAAGUAUGCGGAAUGCGUGGUGUAGCGGUGAAAUGCAUAGA
rnacentral:rRNA from 1 species